GCCGCGGUAAUUCCAGCUUCAGCAGCAUCUAUUAAAGUUGCUGCGGUUAAAAGGCUCGCAGUUGAAUGUCUGUAUCGAGCGCAGGUCAGGUGGACGUUGGGGCGUGGAAGUACGGGCAGUUGGAUGUCCGGAGGGCCUUCGUGCUCAACGGCUCCUUCGGCUUUUCCACACACCCCCGUCCGUGACAAGCCUCCUCGCUCGGGUACAUAACGGGAAUUGGUCAAACGGAGUGUGGUCGGAGGUCGUGGUGCGUGGCCUCGGUUGCGUGCUUCUUCUUUCGGCUGCGUUAAGCUCCAUCGGUUUCACGGUCACCUUGAGUAAAUCAGAGUGCUCAAAGCAGUCGUAGGGGCCUUGCGCCCUGUGAACAGUCUUGACGGACUGACUUGGUUUUGCAUGGCAUGUCGGAAGACGACGUCGUGUGCUGGCUCAGAGGAUAAAUCAGUGGUACAAGCCAGCCUCGACGUAAUGAUUAAAAGGGUCGGUCGAGGGCAUUGGUAUUGCGAGGCGAGAGGUGAAAUUCUGUGACCCCCGCAAGACCUCCUGAAGCGAAAGCGUCUGCCAAGGACGUUUUCAUUAAUCAUGAACGAAAGUUAGAGGAUCGAAGGCGAUCAGAUACCGCCCUAGUUCUAACCCUAAACGAUGCCAACCAUCAAUCCGCGCGUAGCACCCUUCUUAACGGGCUCGGCGGGCAGCUCCCCACUCACGGGAAACCAGAGCCUCUGGGUUCCGGGGGGAGUCUGGUUGCAAAGCUGAAACUUAAAGGAAUUGACGGAAAGGCACCACCAGGCGUGGAGCCUGCGGCUUAAUUUGACCCAACACGGGCCAUCUCACCAGGCCAGCACUCUUGUACGAUUGACAGAUUGAGAGCUCUUUCUCGAUUCAGUGGAUGGUGGUGCAUGGCCGUUCUUAGUUGGUGGAGUGAUCUGUCUGGUUAAUUCCGAUAACGAACGAGACUCUCCCCUGCUAACUAGUCGGUUGGAUCUUGAUCAGCGGGUUGCGUGCCGAGUAACUCUCGCUGUGCGGGUGGUGCGUCUCGGGCCUCACGGUUCGUUGCGUGCUCUCUCGUGUGGCGUUGGAUGCCUUGGAUCACACUGCACCCCAAGUCCGCCGCUUAUGCUAUAACUCUUCUUAGAGGGAUUCACGGCACUGAAGCCGUAAGAGACUGAGAGCAAUAACAGGUCUGUGAUGCCCUUAGAUGCUCUGGGCCGCACGCGCGCUACAAUGCCGGGCACAGCAGGUGUUUCUCCUGCUCCGACAGGAGCGGGUAACCCUCUGAAAGCCAGUGUUCUUGCAAGUGAUUCCUCCCUCGUGGAGUUUCACAGAGGCGUGCUUGGGCCUGGGACUUGCAAUUCUUUCCCACCAACGAGGAAUGCCUAGUAGCGGCGGGUCACUGAGCCCGCUGUGACUCAGUCCCUGCCCUUUGUACACACCGCCCGUCGCUACUACCGAUUGGGUGUACCAGUGAGAGCCUUGGACUGGCGUCCGUUGUUGCUCGCAAGAGUGACAAGCGGGUCCGACGGAAAGAGGUCCGAACUGGUGCACUUAGAGGAAGUAAAAGUCGUAACAAGGUUUCCGUAGGUGAACCUGCGGAAG
rnacentral:rRNA from 1 species